CAGUUCGGACUGCAGUCUGCAACUCGACUGCACGAAGCUGGAAUCGCUAGUAAUCGCGGAUCAGAAUGCCGCGGUGAAUACGUUCCCGGGUCUUGUACACACCGCCCGUCACACCAUGGGAGUCAGUAACGCCCGAAGUCAGUGACCUAACCGAAAGGGAGGAGCUGCCGAAGGCGGGACGGAUGACUGGGGUGAAGUCGUAACAAGGUAAC
rnacentral:rRNA from 1 species